UACGGAGGAUGCAAGCGUUAUCCGGAAUGAUUGGGCGUAAAGCGUCCGCAGGUGGCUAUGUAAGUCUGCUGUUAAAGAGUGAGGCUCAACCUCAUAAGAGCAGUGGAAACUACAUGGCUAGAGUGCGUUCGGGGCAGAGGGAAUUCCUGGUGUAGCGGUGAAAUGCGUAGAGAUCAGGAAGAACACCGGUGGCGAAAGCGCUCUGCUAGGCCGCAGCUGACACUCAUGGACGAAAGCUAGGGGAGCGAAUGGG
rnacentral:rRNA from 1 species